rnacentral:ncRNA from 1 species
ACAAAAGGGGUGCCUGCAUUGCGGGCUGAGACCAUACCCUAUGAACUUGACGCGGUUAAUACCGCCGUAAGGAUUUGUU